UACGUAGGUGGCAAGCGUUGUCCGGAAUUAUUGGGCGUAAAGUGCGCGCAGGUGGUUUCUUAAGUCUGAUGUGAAAGCCCACGGCUCAACCGUGGAGGGUCAUUGGAAACUGGGGAACUUGAGUGCAGGAGAGAAGAGUGGAAUUCCACGUGUAGCGGUGAAAUGCGUAGAGAUGUGGAGGAACACCAGUGGCGAAGGCGACUCUUUGGCCUGUAACUGACACUGAGGCGCGAAAGCGUGGGGAGCAAACAGG
rnacentral:rRNA from 1 species